AGAAUCAACGCUGGCGGCGUGCCUAACACAUGCAAGUCGAACGAGAAAGUGGAGCAAUCCACGAGUAAAGUGGCGCACGGGUGAGUAACACGUGACUAACCUACCCUUGAGUGGGGGAUAACUGAGGGAAACCUUAGCUAAUACCGCAUAAUACCCACGGGUCAAAGGAGCAAUUCGCUCGAGGAGGGGGUCGCGGCCGAUUAGUUAGUUGGCGGGGUAAUGGCCCACCAAGACGAUGAUCGGUA
rnacentral:rRNA from 1 species